UACGAAGGGUGCAAGCGUUACUCGGAAUUACUGGGCGUAAAGCGUGCGUAGGUGGUGAGUUAAGUCUGUCGUGAAAGCCCCGGGCUCAACCUGGGAAUGGCGAUGGAUACUGGCUCGCUAGAGUGCGGUAGAGGAGAGUGGAAUUCCCGGUGUAGCAGUGAAAUGCGUAGAGAUCGGGAGGAACAUCAGUUGCGAAGGCGGCUCUCUGGACCAGCACUGACACUGAGGCACGAAAGCGUGGGGAGCAAACAGGAUUAGAUACCCGUUAGUCC
rnacentral:rRNA from 1 species